rnacentral:lncRNA from 1 species
UUCAGAGUGUAGGGUCAAGAUUUUUGAAAGGAACAGGAGAAAGACCUGGCUGGAGGCUGGGAGAUGCUCAUCAUGGGGUCCUAUACCAAACAGGGGAGGAGGGGUAAAGCUCUUCUCACUUUCCAGGAUUGUUUCUAAGGACAGUCUGAUGAAAUGUGAAGUGAUUCCAGAACAACUGAGAGCACUGGCCCUACUUCCCAACAGCUUGGAUCAAAAAUGUAUCUGUCACAUUGUAUGGCAAAGAAAAUGUUCAGUAGCAGGAGCAUUACAAGAAGUUAGGAUCUCUGUUACAGGUUUUGCAAAAAGCUGUGUGCAAUUCCAUAAUAGUGCUGCGAAUCCUGCUGG